rnacentral:rRNA from 1 species
GAUGAACGCUGGCGGUAUGCUUAACACAUGCAAGUCGAACGGACUCUUCGGAGUUAGUGGCGGACGGGUGAGUAACGCGUGAGAAUCUGGCUUUGGGUUCGGGACAACCACUGGAAACGGUGGCUAAUGCCGGAUGUGCCGAGAGGUAAAAGAGAAAUUGCCUGAAGAUGAGCUCGCGUCUGAUUAGCUAGUUGGUGAGGUAAAGGCUCACCAAGGCAGCGAUCAGUUGCUGGUCUGAGAGGAGGACCAGCCACAACGGGACUGAGACACGGCCCAGACGACUACGGGAGGCAGCAGUGGGGAAGUAUCCGAGAUGGGCGAAAGACUGACGGAGCAGUACCGCGUGGGGGAAGAAGGCUCUUGGGGUGUAAAACUCUUUUCUUAGGGAAGAACAAAAUGACGGUACCUAAGGAAGAAGCAUCGGCUAACUCCGUG